GACGAACGCUGGCGGCGUGCCUAAUACAUGCAAGUAGAACGCUGAGGACUGGUGCUUGCACCGGUUCAAGGAGUUGCGAACGGGUGAGUAACGCGUAGGUAACCUACCUCAUAGCGGGGGAUAACUAUUGGAAACGAUAGCUAAUACCGCAUGACAAUGGAGGACCCAUGUCUUUCAUUUAAAAGGUGCAACUGCAUCACUAUGAGAUGGACCUGCGUUGUAUUAGCUAGUUGGUGAGGUAACGGCUCACCAAGGCGACGAUACAUAGCCGACCUGAGGGGUGAACGGCCACACUGGGACUGAGACACGGCCCAG
rnacentral:rRNA from 1 species